CAGGUGAGUUAUAGCCCUUAACUAACCUGUUGUUAAAAUCAAGUUUUAGUUCACUUCAUAAAUUAGCAACUAAAAACAUUCAAGGAAAAACAAUGUCACAACGAGUCAGAAAACAGAUAUAAACAGUUUACAACUGAAUGACAACAACUGAUGAAAACUUUUCCUUUGGCACACAAUCGGCUUUCUGUGUUGCGGCGACAACCUUUCAGACAUUAUUAACAAAGAAAAUUGAUAAGAAAUGGGAAUUCCCAGAAUGUACUCAUCCUUACACUUUUUAUUCCUUUGUGAUCUAGUAGAACUGUAUUAAACUUAUGCUUUGAUCGUUGUUUAAAAUGAUAGAACAUACUUCCUUUGACACACAAUCGGCUGUCCACAGUGAUUUACUUGUUUAAUAGAAACGCAGACAACCUUUCUGACAUUAAAAACAAUAAAAAUUGAUAAGAAAUGGGAAUUCCGAGAA